CCCAGCUCCACCUCUCCUAGACCCACUUAAGAGCUGACUACUGGUGGGGAAGGAUCUCUUCUGGAUUUCCCCUCCUCUGGAGUUUCAUAACAAGCUCAGGAUGUGGGUUAAGGAAGAUCAUGUUUCAGCCUGACUCUAGUUGAAUACGAAAGUGUUGCAGCGUUGUGAUGGUGACUUUGGCUAUGAGUGAUUGCAAAUGGAUUUCUCUUCCCAGCAUCUACCUGCCUGUGGAGCUGCAUCCAGCCUAGAGUUUCCACAGGUACUUCCCUCUGCAGCAGUACAACUUAAAGGAGAUGAGAUGCUGUUCCAGGAGUGGGAGAAGUUCAAGGACAGAGACAGCUUACUAAUGUGGAAGAGGCUGUCAAGCUACAUAGACUUAAAUGUCUGCUCCCAGUUCUCGCUAAUGUUUUAGACAUAUGCAUUGAUAAUACAGUCAUGCUGUGUAUGAAAGCAAUCGCUUUGUGAAUCUCAUGUUAUAUUCAUAUGUGAAUAUAAUAUAUUUUAGAAAAAUCGUUUUCUUUUCAAAGACAAAUCACUCAUUGCAUCUUUAUACUUGAUUUCAUUCAAAUGGAGUGUGAUGCUACAAUUUCAGCACAGGGUAUAAACCUUUAAUCCAUAAAGACUGAGGAAUGCAUUCUCUGCCUGAGACAAACAUGACUCCAUUAUCAUUGGUAGCGGUGUGCUUGUGUACCAAGGGUGCAGAAGUUUAGAUUGCAGAAAAACUGGAUUUUAUUUGUCACCCUCAAAAUGCUUGGUUUGUUUAUCAAAUGGUGUGAAUUGGAAGCUGUAUUUUAUUGAAGGCUGAAAAAAUACCCCCAUGUGAUUUCCUGAAACAAGGAUAUUAACAGAGCAAGAACAAUCAUGGUUCAAAAACCGUAAAUUGGUUUGCAAGCUUUGUCUUCUGUAGUUUGUUUGAAGUCCCACUAUUAGAAGUCCUUUGUAAUGGAUGUAUUCCCUUGGUUUAUUACAUCAGCCAGAAUCCCUUCUUUCACAGAGAAACUUUGGAAAAACAAAAACUAUUUUUUUAGUUAAUGUUUUUAAGACUGGAAUGAAAGAUCUUUAAAUGGGUUGCAUGGUGUAGAAAAGUCCCUGUUUUCUGUGUAGAACACUUUUCCAGUUCAA